rnacentral:SRP_RNA from 1 species
GCCAAGCGCGCCUGUUGUCCCAGUUACUCGGGAGGCUGAGGCAGGAGGAUCGCUUGAGCCCAGGAGUUCUGGGCUGCAGUGCGCUAUGCCCAUCGGGUGUCCGCACUAAGUUCGGCAUCAAUAUGGCGACCUCCCGGGAGCGGGGGACCACCAGGUUGCCUAAGGAGGGGUGAACCGGCCCAGGUCGGAAACGGAGCAGGUCAAAACUCCUGUGCUGAUCAGAAAUCUACUUUUAAUAGAAAUGAGCAUAAGAGUACAUGUCACAAUAAUGAUACAU